UCUAAGGCUGAUGGCGACCGGCGCACGGGUGAGUAACACGUAUCCAACCUGCCCUUUACUCGGGGAUAGCCUUUCGAAAGAAAGAUUAAUACCCGAUGGGAUAAUUAUUCCGCAUGGUUUGAUUAUUAAAGGAUUCCGGUAAAGGAUGGGGAUGCGUUCCAUUAGGUUGUUGGUGAGGUAACGGCUCACCAAGCCUUCGAUGGAUAGGGGUUCUGAGAGGAAGGUCCCCCACAUUGGAACUGAGACACGGUCCAA
rnacentral:rRNA from 1 species